rnacentral:rRNA from 1 species
CGGCCCGUGAGGGGCCCUAUAAUGCAGUCGACGCGUUGGCCCAAUUGAUUGAUGGUGCUUGCACCUGAUUGAUUUUGGUCGCCAACGAGUGGCGGACGGGUGAGUAACACGUAGGUAACCUGCCCAGAAGCGGGGGACAACAUUUGGAAACAGAUGCUAAUACCGCAUAACAACGUUGUUCGCAUGAACAACGCUUAAAAGAUGGCUUCUCGCUAUCACUUCUGGAUGGACCUGCGGUGCAUUAGCUUGUUGGUGGGGUAACGGCCUACCAAGGCGAUGAUGCAUAGCCGAGUUGAGAGACUGAUCGGCCACAAUGGGACUGAGACACGGCCCAUACUCCUACGGGAGGCAGCAGUAGGGAAUCUUCCACAAUGGGCGCAAGCCUGAUGGAGCAACACCGCGUGAGUGAAGAAGGGUUUCGGCUCGUAAAGCUCUGUUGUUAAAGAAGAACACGUAUGAGAGUAACUGUUCAUACGUUGACGGUAUUUAACCAGAAAGUCACGGCUAACUACGUGCCAGCAGCCGCGGUAAUACGUAGGUGGCAAGCGUUAUCCGGAUUUAUUGGGCGUAAAGAGAGUGCAGGCGGUUUUCUAAGUCUGAUGUGAAAGCCUUCGGCUUAACCGGAGAAGUGCAUCGGAAACUGGAUAACUUGAGUGCAGAAGAGGGUAGUGGAACUCCAUGUGUAGCGGUGGAAUGCGUAGAUAUAUGGAAGAACACCAGUGGCGAAGGCGGCUACCUGGUCUGCAACUGACGCUGAGACUCGAAAGCAUGGGUAGCGAACAGGAUUAGAUACCCUGGUAGUCCAUGCCGUAAACGAUGAGUGCUAGGUGUUGGAGGGUUUCCGCCCUUCAGUGCCGGAGCUAACGCAUUAAGCACUCCGCCUGGGGAGUACGACCGCAAGGUUGAAACUCAAAGGGAAUUGACGGGGGCCCGCACAAGCGGUGGAGCAUGUGGUUUAAUUCGAAGCUACGCGAAGAACCCUUACCAGGUCUUGACAUCUUGCGCCAACCCUAGAGAUAGGGCGUUUCCUUCGGAACGCAUGACAGUGCUGCAUGUCGUCGUCAGCUCGUGUCGUGAGAUGUUGAAUAGUCCCGCACGAGCGCAACCCUUGGUACUAGUUGGCAAGCAAUUUAGGUUGCACUCUAGUGAGCACCUGACUGUGACCAACCGGCAGGAAGGUGGGGUAC